rnacentral:piRNA from 1 species
UUCAAAGCUAGCACUUCAGAUUUGGCCUUGA